GGGGGGGGGGGGGGGGGGGGGGGGGAGAUGGAGGGGGAAGGCUGGGGGGGGGGCUGGCUUCUCUGGAUGAGUUGGGAACGGGUGGGUAACGCGUAGGUAACCUGCCUGGUAGCGGGGGAUAACUAUUGGAAACGAUAGCUAAUACCGCAUAAUAUUGACUAUUGCAUGAUAGUCAGUUGAAAGGUGCAACUGCACCACUACCAGAUGGACCUGCGUUGUAUUAGCUAGUUGGUGGGGUAACGGCUCACCAAGGCGACGAUACAUAGCCGACCUGAGAGGGUGAUCGGCCACACUGGGACUGAGACACGGCCCAGACUCCUACGGGAGGCAGCAGUAGGGAAUCUUCGGCAAUGGACGGAAGUCUGACCGAGCAACGCCGCGUGAGUGAAGAAGGUUUUCGGAUCGUAAAGCUCUGUUGUAAGAGAAGAACGAGUGUGAGAGUGGAAAGCUCACACUGUGACGGUAUCUUACCAGAAAGGGACGGCUAACUACGUG
rnacentral:rRNA from 1 species